AUCUUGCUGUAAUUGGGCAUAAUUAGAAGUUAAUCAGGAUUUAUUCUGCUUGUUAAUACUUUAGUUAAUUUGCUCACUGUUCGAGUUAGAUAAAUAGAUGGUGACGAGUUUAUUUUAUAGUGAGUGUCAGGGAUUUAUUUUAGCGAACCACUUGAAGUUGCUGAGAAACAGGUUACACCACUCGGCUCACCCCCUUUUACAGAUUAUGAGCUUCUGGUACAACUUCAAAUGAACAUGAGACGGCUGUUUUUAGAAUCAUGGAUUCAUAGACUCCCUACAGUAUGGGGACAGGCCAUUUGGCCCAACAAGUCCACCCGACCCACCGAAGGCUUCCCCACAAAGACCCCACCCCCUGUGUCCUGCCAACGGGAGAAAGGUCAGUUUUCCCUGUGUCUGUUUCACAGCGAGUAACUCAACCUGUCUGUGUCUGAUCUCCCUGGGAACUGGUGACAGAAAUCUGUUCAUCUCUUUAUUGGGUUUUUUACUGAGACUGGGACUGAGACUGGUUCGGCAACUUCAAGUUCAGCAAAUGAUCAAAUUACUUUGUCGACCGGGAAAUGGCAUCAUGGGUAGGAAAGAAUGUUUAUUUUGUUAAUUUUUCAGUUUGUGAACAGCAGAUAUUUUCCAAUCACUUUUUUUUCCCAGUCCCUGACUGGAAUAGGGAGAGUGGAUUCCCAGAAUGUUGCUGAUCUUUCUCUCCAUCUCGCUGUGUUUUUCCCGGGUCUCUCCCGAGACUAAUGCACUCACUCGGAUUUACACAAUUGUUGCUGGAUUGAAGGGUUUUCCUGAGGUUACAAACAGUGCAAUAGUCAAUGGAGUUAUAAUCGGUUCACGUGACAGUAAAACCCAACGGUACAUCCCCAGACAGCAGUUCAUGGCAGAAUUCUGCGAUAUUUCUGGAAUUAUAUCUCAGACCAGGUGAACAAACAUGGAAACAUGGCAAAGGAAACUAUGAGUACAAUAAUGAAGAGGACAAACCAGACGUCUGGUAAG